UCUGUGCAAACGGGCCCGAGCCCCGCGUGGGGCCAGGGGCAGUGCAGUGAUGCUGGCGCUUGGGGAAGGUGCUGCCUGUGUGAUAGUGGCCUCUGGCAACACUGGUCCUGGCUACCCAGGACCCAAAGCUCCGGGGGAAGUCAAUUAGGAACAUCUGCACAGACAAAGUCCAGGGCCCAGCACUGGUCUCUUCAACAAUGGUUCCCACUGCAAUUUGCAUGUAUAAGAAUAUUGCCAUGGCAGCAGAAAUUUGCAUAUUAAUAGAAGCUAGUCUUAAUUGUUGAGCUGCUCCUAAUGUCUGGGAGCAGAAAGGAGCCUGCUGUGUUUUACCAAGCUGCAACUGCCGCUGCCAGGGGCCUUGCCUUCCCAGCCAAGUUCCUCAAAGCUCUCCAUGCUCCUCCCUCUCCAGCCCCAGUCCCGCAUGGAAUCCCGUGAGAUCUGCAGUUGCCCACAGCAUCAAUCUAGGAGUCAAAGCCCAGGCUCCCAUCCUGCCUAUGGGAGCCAUCUGCAUGUGCACCAUCGAUGCUGUACGUACCUCCUGCACUCCCAGGAUCACCUGCGUUUCCCUCUGGGCACCCCAAGGCCCAGCCCUGCUGACUGUGCUGAAGUGGGUACAAGCCCUUGCGGAAUCGGCAGAAGUGGCAUGGCUGGUACCAAACAAAAUGGUCCAGGGGCUCACCGGGGAAAGACUUGCAUGGCUGUCCAUUCCCGAGCCUCUGCCGAGGAUCCUCCCCGAGGAGACGCUCCGCAGGUUCCAGCCCAGCCUGGCUCCCUCCUUCCCGGCGCUGAGCUGCGGCCCGGCCUUCGCCACUGGAUGGCACACGAACCCCGGCGGAGGAGCCCGGGUGGUCCCGGGUUGCUGCGCAAACCCCCGGCUGCUCCGGGGAGGUGCUGGGGGAUUCCGGGAGGUGCUGCGAGGUGCUGGAGGAUGCCGGGGUGUGCUGGGAGGUGCUGGGGGAUGCUAGAGAUGCCUUGGGGGGUGCUGGGAGGUGUUGGGAGGUGCUGGGGGAUGCUGGGGAUGCCGGGAGGUGCUGAGAGGUAUCGGGAGUCGUUGGGGGGUCCCGCGAGGUGCCAGGGGAUGCCGGGGGUUCCUGGCAGGUGCUGGAGGAUGCUGGGGGUCCCGGGAGGUGCCGGGAGUUGCUAGGGGGUCCCGGGAGGUGCUGGGGUGUCCCAGGAGGUGCUGGGCUCCCAGCCCCGCAGUUUUGCUCCCUCCUCGCAGCCUUUGGGAGCAUCGGCGCUCGGUCGGAGCGGGACUCUGCCCUUGGCUGGGUACCACCUGCCGCACCUCCGGCUGCGUGCCCGCUGCUCCUCGGGAGUACACAGGGCUCUUCCCACUCAGCACUCCAUCAGGAUAAGAGCAAGCUCACCUCACUGUUCCUCGCAGGCUGGAAAAUCAGGGAGGUCUUUAAACCUGCUGGCCUCGACAAGCACAGGCUGCAACGAGCUCUUUUAUUUAAUAUUAUCCUUCUCGCCAAUGACUGCGGAGGAAGGCAGAGGGUAUCGGUCUGGCCGAUAACUGACAAUAAAAACCCCUCUCUCCCCUGACUCCCUGACCAGCCCCUUCUCCCACAUCUGCUCUUGUCCUCUGCUCAGCCCCCUUCCUCCUGCUCCAGGGGCUCCUCACCAGCACAGAGGUACCUCUGCAUCCCUCCCCUCACUGGGAUGGCUCCCAGCAGCACGCAGGCCAUGCAGGGUGGCCCCAUGCUGCGGGAUGCCCAAUGUUGCACUGCUGGGACGGGGCAGCACCGCACUGCCCAGGCUGCAGCUCCCAGCUGCAGUCAGGCUGCCCUGGCUUCACCCUGGUGCUGCCACCUCGUCGGCUGUGCCGCAGGUCCCUGGGUGCCCUGGGUCUCUGGGUGUCCUGGCUGUGCCUGGGAAGGUGAGCAGGUGGCCAGGGGAAGGGGCAGGGAGUCUCUCUGCUGCCCCUGGCCCCAUUGUUCUCCCCUGUCAACAACAGCUGGGAGAGGAAAUGGGGGCUAGGGGCAUGCCAAGACACCCACUGCUAAAGAGAAGAUAAGGAGGGAGGGGGCAUUUACUGGUUUUCCAGGGGUGGCGGAUGCAGCAGUGUCCCCUGCAGCGCAGGACAGGAGGGCGUUGUGUCCCCAGCCAGCCUGCCAUGCUGUCACACAGGCAUCCGAUAGUGACUGGGGAUCCGUGGGGUGGUCAGGCAGUGAUUUAUUCAGGACAGCGUGAAGACCAAAUACUGUGAUAAACUCUACAAUAAAAUAAAGCUGUAAUUUUACAACCUUUAAGCUAUAUUUAAACUAAAUGGAAAUUAAACUUUUUAAAAGUCUGAUUUUAUUCAGAUUUACGUUUUCAUCAUCAGACUAGAUCAAAGGAUUUCCUGGGCAAGUUUAUUUUAGGAACCUUUUUGGGACGUACACCUGCAAUGUUGCUGUAUUUGGGGCACUCAGACUACAACAGACCAGUCACAGCUUUUCCUUGUUGCCACCCAGCAUUAUUUCUAGUGACAGAAUAGGAAUCGACCUGCGAUCUGCUCUCUGGGGUGGUCAAGUGCCGGAUCCAGGAAAGGAGACUGAUGAUAUUGCAGCAUCUCCGGCUGAUCACCGCAUCCCACUCACCCUGGCUGGGGUGCCCGGUUCAGGGGGAGGUGUCACACGAAAGGCUCUGCAAAGCCACCUUCUGGUCCCUUCACAGUAUCACAGAAUCCCAGGCUGGUUGGGGUUGCAGGAGCUCUGUAGAUCCCCCAGCCCAGUCGUGCUCACGCAGGGUCACCAGAGCAGAUCACACAGGUGGGUCCAGGAGGUUUGAAUGUCUCAGAGGAGGAGACUCCACACCUGCUCUGGGCAGCCUGGGCCAGGCUCUGGCACCUCCCAGCAAAGAAGUUUCUCCUCAUGUUCAGAUGGACCCUCCUGUGUUUCAGUCUGUGCCCGUUGCCCCUCACCCUGGCGUUGGGCACCACUGAACAGAGUCUGGUCCAUCCUCUGACACCCACCCUGAGAUAUUGAUCCCAUUGAUCAGAUCCAUCUCAGCUUCUCUUCUCCAGCUGAACAGCCCCAGCUCUCUCAGCCUUUCCUCGUCAGAAAGAUGCUCCAGACCCCAUGCUGCUGACAGGUCCUGCUCAGAGGACACAGGGACCGAUCCCGUUCAGGAGCCACAGUUGUGCAGCCAUGCGAGCACCGACACUUCACCGGUCACCCCGCAGCCGUGUCCUGCCCAGCGCCACCGGCACUGCGGCCAUGGGAGCUCGCGCAGCCAGCAUGGGAUCCAAAGAGCAGGCUGACAUCAGAGCCAGGGCAAAGUCUGGUGGGACGCAGAGAGGUGUGAAAGGCAAAGCGCUGUCACGUGUGCCCAAUACACGUGACAGCCGGUGGGGCAUCAACGCCUGCGCUGCCUGCCUGGCACUCUGCUCUGCCCCGGCUGCAUCCCGGCACAGACAGCAGGAUGAGAGCAGGGCCAGGACAGGGAUGUGUCCCACCGUGCGUGUCUCCUGGAGCAGGGAGGAGCAUCCCAUCCUGUGCCUGCCAGGUACCUUGGAUGGACUGUGCUGCAGCUGCACCGGACAGUGUGUCCCCAGAGCAUCCCAGUCCCCAGGCGCUGCGCUGGGAUGACCACACCAGCCUGGGCUGGUGGCCUUCUGCUUAUGGUGGCCUUCUGUUCAUGGUGGCCUUCUGCUGGUGGUGGCCUUCUGCCGGCAGGGUGCAGGGACAAGCGGGUGCGUGUGAGGGUGCUGCACACCCCAGCCAGGGCAUCGCCUUUCAUGGGGCUUUGUCCACACCAUCAUUAAUAAUAUCAAGGUGUUCUGCCAAGUUCUUUCCAGUAAACCUGUGACUUCAUUCAAAGUGACAGGGAACCUGAUUUAUUAUACUAAUGAGCUGGCGAUAAAUAAACAUGACCUGAGAGAAUCCCA